rnacentral:rRNA from 1 species
GGAGGGUGCAAGCGUUGUUCGGAAUUAUUGGGCGUAAAGAGCGUGUAGGCGGUCCGGUAAGUCAGAUGUGAAAGCCCUGGGCUCAACCCAGGAAGUGCAUUUGAAACUACCAGACUUGAGUACGGGAGAGGAGGGGGAAUUCCCGGUGUAGAGGUGAAAUUCGUAGAUAUCGGGAGGAAUACCAGUGGCGAAGGCGCCCUCUGGACCGAUACUGACGCUGAGACGCGAAAGCGUGGGGAGCAAACAGGAUUAGAUACCCUGGGUAGUCCACGCCGUAAACGAUGAGCACUAGGUGUAGCGGGUAUUGACCCCCCUGCUGUGCCGUAGCUAACGCAUUAAGUGCUCCGCCUGGGGGACUACGGUCGCAAGACUA